AAAAACCGCCGAACCGGCCGGUUAGGCGGUCUAGGCGGCCGCCUAGACCGCCUAGCCGGCCGGCUAGGUGGCCGGC
rnacentral:pre_miRNA from 1 species